rnacentral:lncRNA from 1 species
CAGAAAUGACAUGUGAAAUUCAUCAAAUUAACACGAAGGUAGUAUAUUACAAUUUUUCCAAUCUAUUACAAAGCAGAUAUGUCUAUUAUUACAAUAUAUAAUGUGCAUUCUUGGAUAAGUAGAGCUUCACACAAUUGGCUUCAAGGCUUCGCACUUCAACUUUCUUAGGCCUGGAGGUCCUGUAGAAGAAACAACCAUAUUUGUAAGAGCUACAAGAUACAGAUCAAGAAUAGAAACAAGGCACAAAAACAAGCAAUCCAUGGCGGAAACCUUGAAGCGACAAAUGUUUCUGAACUCAGAUGAGAGAAGUUUGAGUCUAGCCAAUUAAACCAACUACCACUGAUGUAACCUAUAAAGAUGGACUGAGCAAUAAAAAUACGAAAAAAUGACAGCUGAAUUAUGAAGAGUCGUAAAUUUGACCCCUUUUGGCCUUAAUUAAUUGUGUGAAGCUGAAAUGAUUAAUCUAAAGUAAGAUAUACCGGUAUGUAGGCAAAAAAUGUAGUUGAAUGAUCCAUACUUGAAUAACCUAAAAAAGAAGGCAGCAUCAAAUACUAUAGUAAUUAUUAUUGUACAUGAUAUAGUAAGGUACUCUCACUGGUUAAGGUACUCUACAGUACACGUACGUCGUACCAAAGUAUGCGUCCAGACAGUAAGCAGACACAAUUAGCUAGUCUUGUACGCACAUUUUUCCACAUGUAUUUAUAAUAAUUAUUUUUUAGUAAUAUAUGUUGCCAAUGCUAUGUAUCACUAAUUCAGUCCAACUAAACCGACAAAUGCUACGGGCAGAAGUCCCAUCAGCAUCACAAAUCAGAAGAACAUACCCCCCUAAGUCUGAUCAACUAGUCCUCGCUUGCGACUACCCACAUGAUACAAUAAAACCCAUGCGAUUUAGUAUGAUAACAAAGUGCUGGUUUGACCGCCAACUCAAAACAGCAAUUAAUUUGUACACUAUCUGACACGCAAGUGAAAGACCACUAAAAGAUGCUCUAUCUAACAGUACCUCGGUGAUGACACACUCUGGAGCCAAGUUCCUCAAAUGCACAAACAGUAGUGUAUGGAAAUCUGAGUUCAAAUGCUAUAGGAGUAACCAGUUUUUUCAAUGUGUAAAUCAUGUGUUGAACAAAGUAGAAUAAUCAUAAACAAACAGAACUACUGCAGAUCACAUUGCAAUGUCUAACAAGUAGAUUAGAAGCAUCUCUGCUACUGUACUAACCUCAAAUGAGAGGCCAACCUAUUGCUUUAAGUUAAGCCAAAUGUGAGCUAGUAGUGAGUGCCAAGUGCCAUCCAGAUUGGAAACUACUGUAACGACAUUCAUCUACAAUGGAAUUAAGUUAAGCCAAACCGUCCUAUGCUUACCAUGAAUUCAAAGGUUUGCUCCAAAUCUGCCCC